UACGAAGGGGGCUAGCGUUGUUCGGAUUCAUUGGGCGUAAAGGGUGCGUAGGUGGCGCUGUAAGUCGGGUGUGAAAUUUCGGAGCUUAACUCCGAAACUGCAUUCGAUACUGCGGUGCUUGAGGACUGGAGAGGAGACUGGAAUUCAUGGUGUAGCAGUGAAAUGCGUAGAGAUCAUGAGGAAGACCAGUGGCGAAGGCGGGUCUCUGGGCCGAUACUGACGCUGAGGAGCGAAAGCGUGGGGAGCGAACAGG
rnacentral:rRNA from 1 species